GACGAACGCUGGCGGCGUGCUUAACACAUGCAAGUCGAACGGAAAGGCCCUGCUUUUGUGGGGUGCUCGAGUGGCGAACGGGUGAGUAACACGUGAGUAACCUGCCCUUGACUUUGGGAUAACUUCAGGAAACUGGGGCUAAUACCGGAUAGGAGCUCCUGCUGCAUGGUUGGGGUUGGAAAGUUUCGGCGGUUGGGGAUGGACUCGCGGCUUAUCAGCUUGUUGGUGGGGUAGUGGCUUACCAAGGCUUUGACGGGUAGCCGGCCUGAGAGGGUGACCGGCCACAUUGGGAAUGAGAUACGGCCCAGACUCCUACGGGAGGAAGCAGGGGGGAAUAUUGCACAAUGGGCGGAAGCCUGAUGCAGCAACGCCGCGUGAGGGAUGAAGGCCUUAGGGUUGUAAACCGCUUUCGCCUGUGACGAAGCGUGAGUGGCGGUAAUGGGUAAAGAAGCACAGGAUAACUACGUG
rnacentral:rRNA from 1 species